rnacentral:rRNA from 1 species
GACGAACGCUGGCGGCGUGCUUAACACAUGCAAGUCGAACGGUUACGCCCGGCUGUUGGUGGCGGAUCGGUGGGCGAACGGGUGGGAAACACGUGAGUGACCUGCCCAAGAGUUUGGGAUAACUGCAAGAAACUGGUGAUAAUACCAGAUCAGAGCUUCAGCGGCAGGGGGUGGGCUGGCGAGGGUCGGCGGUUGGGGUUGGGCUCGGGGCUUAUCAGCCUGUUGGUGUGGUAGGGGCUGACCAGGGCUUUGCCGGGUAGCCGGCCUGAGAGGGUGACAGGCCACAUUGGGACUGAGAUACGGCCCAGACUCCUCCGCGAGGCAGGAGUGGGGUAUAUUGCACAAUGGGAGGGAGGCUGAUGUAGCCACGCCGCGUGCCGGAUGAGGGCAUUGGGGUUGGAAACCGCUUUCGCCUGUGACGAAGCGUGAGUGACGGUAACGGGUAAAGAAGCCCCGGCUAACUCCGUG